rnacentral:misc_RNA from 1 species
GUGAAAGCACCCGCUCUGCCGGAAUUUUGACCCGCACCUUUCCACCCACCAACCACUAUCACUACCACCAUCUUUGCAUUGAGCUCAGCCACGUCGAACGCUAACAUCAGAUCCUUCAUUCGUCUUCUUAAAGUUGAUAAAAACUACAAAAGUUUUUCUAUUUUCAAAAUAAAUAGCAAAACAGGACAUAAAAUUCGAUCUCUUUCUUCCUUCCUUUUACUCAAAAUUUAAUGCCCAUGUCUCAGAUGCGUUUGAUUCUGAUUGUUAAUUUGCUUUUGUUGCUGAGCUCUAAAGCGGCGUCGUUUCUUCCGGGAUCCCGUUCGAUCCUUCGAGAAUUAAGCAACGACAACGCCGUGAAGGCAGAUUAUGCCAUCGAUUUUAACAUCACCAACUUCGAUGCAGUUCUUAGAGACACUCCUGCCACUUUUGCCAUUGUCGAAUUCUUCGCCCACUGGUGCCCUGCUUGCAGAAAUUAUAAGCCCCAUUAUGAAAAAGUUGCAAGGCUUUUCAAUGGACCUGAUGCAGUGCAUCCUGGUAUUGUAUUGAUGACAAGGGUGGAUUGUGCAUUGAAGAUAAAUAAUAAACUUUGUGAUAGAUUUUCGGUGAGUCAUUAUCCCAUGCUAUUUUGGGGUCCACCUGCCAAAUUUGUAUCUGGUGGUUGGAAACCCAAACAAGAGAAAAGUGUAAUUCGUGUAAUCGAUGAUGGACGAACAGCUGAACAUUUGCUUAAUUGGAUCAAUAAGCAAUUAGGCAGGUAUGAGGUAUUACUGACCAUGUCUUGUUUUGUUGUGAUCUUUAAAUUGUAAUGUACUGCAUCUUUAGCUCAAAACUAUAUUUGAUGUUGGACUUUCUUGACAUUGUGCUAACAAAACAUUGUCACAAGUUCUCAGUUUUGGUGCCCUUUGCCUUUGACAUUUGUAAACAGUUCUCAUGUUCUUCUGCAGUUUGGUUUUGGUUCACCAUUAGCUUACUAACUUUUUCCCCUUUGUUUGGAAAAGAUUUGAAAUUAGAAUCUAUCCUCGCUACAGUCAAUACCAUAACUAAUAAGAUAAUGCCUCAAGGCCAUUGAUUCAUUAAUUUCUGAUGAACCAAGUUAGGGAUUGUUAAAAAAAAUCCUCAUUCAUUUAAAACUUUUUAAUGAAGGGUUCUUUUUUUCCAUGUAUGUUUCUGGUGUGUAAGGAUUCUUUUGUUAGUUAACAUGUGCGCUUCAGAAGUGGCAUGGGAUACUCUUUUCUUAAAAAAAAACCUGGAUUUGCACCAAGUUAGUCAGCUGCUACACAAAACACCAUCUUUUAUGUGGCAUUCAUUCCAAAUAUUGCACACCUAUUUGAAAAGUCAAUUGAUUUUUGAACAUCUGCCAUCUUGUUGAGUCAAACUUUACAGGAUCUUCUUAACUCAGUUUGAGAUUGGUUGGUUUCCCAAUGUUUCAAAAGCAGUAAAGUUUGCAAUUAUACAGCAAUAAUAAAUAAAAUCAUUAGCAUUUGUUUUGUAUCCUUGUGAUUAGGAUACUGGCUCAUUAGUAAUCCACUUUUUCAGUAAACAAUCAUAGUUUAUCUACCUGUGGACAAAAAUAUGAUAAAUUCUAUGAAAGAUAUAUUUUUAAUCAACUACCCAAAAUAAGCAAAUUAGAAGACAGUAAGUUAUUUGAUAUAUUGUGUUUCAUUUAUUAAAAAGCAUUUCUAAUGUUUUGUGCAAUAAUAUUUGUCUUUUUUUUUUUUCCCUUUGUUGUUAGAAGACGUACUUUGUUCUUGUUGUAGUUUUGUAAUGUAAAUAAUAUUCAGAAAAGUUAGAAGUCUGAAAGCUUUUGUUCUUGGCUUUGCAUGAUUCAGAAGAAUGCUAUAUUUUGGAUUCACUUACAAUAUCUGCUUACCUGUAUGCGUACAGUUUUAUGAUAGCAUCAAUAAGUUUUAAGCCGGUCAAUAUCAAACAUUUAGAUCAUAAUAAAUGAAGAAGUAGUCAUCUGGUGUUCCAGUAUCUAUCCGAAGGAAGACGCACUGCUUCUAGGUUGUUGCUAAAUGUAAUAAUGAUGCAUUUUCAAGUUUUAAACUGACAAAUAAAAAUAAAACACUGUGAGAAAGAUCUUUUGUUAUUU